rnacentral:rRNA from 1 species
AUCAAUAAGCGGAGGAAAAGAAAUCAAAUGAGAUUUCCGUAGUAGCUGCGAGUGAACUGGAAUCAAGCCUAUCGCCAAUUCUUAUGUUUCGUACAAUAAGAGAUGAGGCGUAAAGGAAUUUCGUGUUGAACGGAUGCACAACCUAAAUAUUAUCGAGUGAGUUCUCAGAGAAGGUGAAAAGCCUGUUUGGUUGUGUCUGUCUGUGAAAUCGGAGUUCUUACGAGUCUAGUUGUUUGAGAGUACAACUUAAAGUUGGUGGUAAAUUUCAUCAAAGGCUAAAUAUAUGAGGGGACUAAUAGCGAACAAGUACCAUGAGGGAAAGUUGAAAAGAACUCUGACGAGAGAGUUCAACAGUGCGUGAAACCAUAUUGAGUAAAACAGAUAACUGUGUCGUUAUGCGGUGUGUCUAUCAACAGUAUAUCGGGUGUUGCGAUGCGGCGAGUGUGAGCUGUUUAUUCAGACGAUCGCUCGCUGUCAGCAUAACUCGAGGUUCUGUGUACUAGUGCACAUCCAAUCAUUGAGAAACUAUGCUACUGCGGCAUCGGCGUACUUCAGCCCCCGCCUAGCGGGAAGUUGUAUGCUGGGCUCAGCUGGCGGCGUAGUUCAGUUGUGUGACAACUGUGGGAUGCGUUCGGUGAAUGUGCCUGCUUUAUCUGCGGAUCGGUUUAUUCCUUUUUGCGGUGAGUAUGGUGCAGUAGGCGAGCGUCUCGCCAUCAAUGAUUGACAUU